rnacentral:lncRNA from 1 species
GCAUCAGUACAAAGUUCUUGGUGUGACCUGUUUUCUUUUCCUCUGACAGGCAACCUGUUGCUCCUCUGGAAAUCAGGAAAUUUAAAAAAACACGUUUUCAAAACUGGGAACUGGGUUACUUGGUAGAGAAGAACACACAGUUCAAGACAUUGCCGCUGCUGCAGGAGAGACAACAGAACUUCUAGAGAAUAUUCUUGCUUUUCCAGGAUCAUAUGUGGUGGACAUGGCUGACAAUGUAGCGUCUCUAUGAGAGAAUCUCCAGACGUCUAUGAGAGGAAAACAGCACUGUUAUUUCCAGUUAUAUUCACAGAUGGAUAGUCUGUGGUCUCCUGCUCUGUGCUGAGGGGCACAGCGAAAGACAGAGCCCCCCUGAUAACUGAGGAUAACUGAGGCACUGAUCAAGACAGAUUAAGGAAGAAGAACCUGAAUUACACAUUUCCUCUGAAAUGGGAUGUUACCAGGCGGUUAAUCUGAGCAGUAUUUAUACUUAAGCAUCUCAAACAGACAUCUUAUUUAUACAUUGCUCUGAAGGCA